rnacentral:lncRNA from 1 species
UUUUGAAGUGUUCUUCGUGUUUUUCUUUGAAGUGAUUCUAGUUCUGUCUGUGUCCACUGUAUCACUCCAAAAGAGUAAGUCAGUUCUGGUAUGGCGAAUGUGUUUGCAAAGUCGCUAGCUUUGCGAAAGUCCGAACCCCGUAUCUCCUCAAACUCUGCCUUUCUCGCCGUUCGGAAAUUUACCUGGACACUAAAUUCCCGAGAAUCUAUCCACUGUAAGGUCGUGUUGAUAAUUUCAAUAAGAUAUUCCAUUGAAUCAAAUACGUCGGUUUAUUUAACAGGAUAUAACUUUACAAUUAGUAAUGAAUUAAAUUAAUACGAACUAUAAUUAAAUACAAUACUCUUAUCUCUCUCUCUUUGUAAACCAGGCCUUUUUCUUAAAAGUCACUACCAUAAAUAACACUUUUCCACCAAACAACAAAGUCCACGUAGACCAAACAACAGGCGUACAGCACAAUCCUUUGACGACACUUGGCCACAUCAUGCAACAACAAACGAGAGAAGACUGUUCACGUCAUCCCACGGCGACUAUUUAUAAGAGACCUAAUUAACAUAACAUCAUUUAAAGAAAAAUAAUAAAAAUUAUUCCAAAUAAUACCAAUUAAUUCCUCUCUCUCUUCAUACAAUACAUAAUUCAAAAUUUUCAAAC